rnacentral:rRNA from 1 species
AGACCCGAAACCCGGUGAUCUAGCCAUGGGCAGGUUGAAGGUUGGGUAACACUAACUGGAGGACCGAACCGACUAAUGUUGAAAAAUUAGCGGAUGACCUGUGGCUGGGGGUGAAAGGCCAAUCAAACCGGGAGAUAGCUGGUUCUCCCCGAAAGCUAUUUAGGUAGCGCCUCGUGAAUUCAUCUCCGGGGGUAGAGCACUGUUUCGGCUAGGGGGCCAUCCCGGCUUACCAACCCGAUGCAAACUGCGAAUACCGGAGAAUGUUAUCACGGGAGACACACGGCGGGUGCUAACGUCCGUCGUGAAGAGGGAAACAACCCAGACCGCCAGCUAAGGUCCCAAAGUCAUGGUUAAGUGGGAAACGAUGUGGGAAGGCCCAGACAGCCAGGAUGUUGGCUUAGAAGCAGCCAUCAUUUAAAGAAAGCGUAAUAGCUCACUGGUCGAGUCGGCCUGCGCGGAAGAUGUAACGGGGCUAAACCAUGCACCGAAGCUGCGGCAGCGACACUCAGGUGUUGUUGGGUAGGGGAGCGUUCUGUAAGCCUGUGAAGGUGGCCUGUGAGGGUUGCUGGAGGUAUCAGAAGUGCGAAUGCUGACAUAAGUAACGAUAAAGCGGGUGAAAAGCCCGCUCGCCGGAAGACCAAGGGUUCCUGUCCAACGUUAAUCGGGGCAGGGUGAGUCGACCCCUAAGGCGAGGCCGAAAGGCGUAGUCGAUGGGAAACGGGUUAAUAUUCCCGUACUUGGUGUUACUGCGAAGGGGGGACGGAGAAGGCUAUGUUGGCCGGGCGACGGUUGUCCCGGUUUAAGCGUGUAGGUGUGUGUU